rnacentral:tRNA from 1 species
GCCCGGUUAGCUCAAUGGCAGAGCGUGAGGCUUUUAACCUCAAGGCUGUGGGUUCGACCCCCACAUCGGGCG